UUAGGGCACCAGUAUACCUAAGUUAUAGUGGUAUUCCCAAUAUUGUGGUCUUUGGACGUCAAUAGCAGCUCGUUGAAGAACUGUUUUGUUGACAGAAUAACAUCGGAAAGGAUGUUUGUUGUUGGAGUCUGGGUAUGCCUGUUUACUCUGGCCAUUGGUAGCUCAGGUCACUAUGGUGGAAUAACUUUGAUAGAGUUCUGCCGGUGUUGGAACGCCAGUAUUCACCGGACUGGUAACAAUCUACAUGUUGGUAUCACCUUCACCAAGACCUGUUGGGAAUCACCGUCAAAGGAUGAUGGAGAUUUUCAAAUACAAUACGAUAGUACCAUGCUGUUCAAGAUUGGCAUCAAUGAAUCCCUAAGGAAGUUGUUGAAGGUGACAGAGUUAGAUUGCAAG